GGAUCAUUACUGAGUUAUUACAACUCCAACCCUUUGUGAACCUUACCGUCGUUUCCUCGGCGUACUACCACGUUGGCUACCCUGUGAGGUUAGCCCCUGUAGGGAUCUACCCUGCAGAGGUUACCCUGUACGGGGGAUGAUGCCAUGGUGUUGGCUACCCUGGAGAAGUAAUUCUUCGGGGAAGGAUGCCACUGGUAGCGUCGAAAGGACCCGUCGAAUACUUGUUUCUCUUCCAGUUCCAAUGAGUUAGAAUAUACCUGAUCGAACUUUCUGGGGGCUUUUUCUGGUGGCGGCGCUCGAAAACUUCUACAUAAAACUACAAGCUCGAACGUAUAUAGGUCGAUAGUGUGGUGAUAUGUGUUUUUUUGUAGGCGUGACUCGUCCGCUCGAAAUGUGUUUUUGCUUCAACUAUUUUCUUUCAAAAGGGGUGGUUGGGGCGGCUGCUCGAAUAAAAAUCUCGAAUUUCUUUUUGUCUGUACCAAUAAGCGUUUGUGUUUUUACUGCUCGAAUACCUUGCUCAAACAUCUCUCAAAACAUCGUUCCAAAUAAUUUCCCCUGCGGAUAAAAGGACCGUAGGAGUGAUCGGUGGGUGUGCCGGUAGGUGGCUAGAUGGGCUAGCUAAACACAAUACUUUCCUAAAAGUUUUGUUUCUUGUUUUUUCUUACCCUGGAGAACUGAAAUGCUUCUUAUAUGAUUUUACUAUUAAACAAAAGUUUAAAACUUUCAACAACGGAUCUCUUGGUUCUGGCAUCGAUGAAGAACGCAGCGAAAUGCGAUAAGUAAUGUGAAUUGCAGAAUUCAGUGAAUCAUCGAAUCUUUGAACGCACAUUGCGCCCAUUAGUAUUCUAGUGGGCAUGCCUAUCCGAGCGUCAUUUCAACCCUUAAGCCCCUGUUGCUUAGCGUUGGGAAUCUGCGUCUUAGGGCGCAGUUCCUUAAAGUUAGUGGCGGAGUUAUAGCACACUCUUAAGCGUAGUAGUUUAUGCCUCGCUUCUGGAGUAGCUGUAGCUGCCGGCCGUAAAACCCCUAUACUUCUAGUGGUUGACCUCGGAUUAGGUAGGAAUACCCGCUGAACUUAAGCAUAUCAAUAAGCGGAGGAAAAGAAACCAACAGGGAUUGCCCUAGUAACGGCGAGUGAAGCGGCAACAGCUCAAAUUUGAAAUCUGGCCCUCGCGGUCCGAGUUGUAAUUUGCAGAGGAUGCUUUUGGUGCGGUGCCUUCCGAGUUCCCUGGAACGGGACGCCAGAGAGGGUGAGAGCCCCGUACGGUUGGACACCUACCCUAUAUAUAGCUCCUUCGACGAGUCGAGUAGUUUGGGAAUGCUGCUCUAAAUGGGAGGUAAAUUUCUUCUAAAGCUAAAUACCGGCCAGAGACCGAUAGCGCACAAGUAGAGUGAUCGAAAGAUGAAAAGCACUUUGAAAAGAGGGUUAAAUAGCACGUGAAAUUGUUGAAAGGGAAGCGUUUGCGACCAGACCUUCUCCAGGCGGAUCAUCCGGCUCUCUCGCCGGUGCACUUCGCCUGGUUUAGGCCAGCAUCGGUUUCCUUAGGGGGAUAAAGGCCUGGGGAACGUAGCUCUUUAGGGAGUGUUAUAGCCCCUGGCGUAAUACCCCUCGGGGGACCGAGGACCGCG
rnacentral:rRNA from 1 species